GUAGGUGGUAAGCGUUGUCCGGAAUUAUUGGGCGUAAAGCGCGCGCAGGGCGGUCCUUUAAGUCUGAUGUGAAAGCCCACGGCUCAACCGUGGAGGGUCAUUGGAAACUGGGGGACUUGAGUACAGAAGAGGAAAGCGGAAUUCCAAGUGUAGCGGUGAAAUGCGUAGAGAUUUGGAGGAACACCAGUGGCGAAGGCGGCUUUCUGGUCUGUAACUGACGCUGAGGCGCGAAAGCGUGGGGAGCAAACAGGAUUAGAUACCCUGGUAGUCCACGCCGUAAACGAUGAGUGCUAAGUGUUAGGGGGUUUCCGCCCCUUAGUGCUGCAGCUAACGCAUUAAGCACUCCGCCUGGGGAGUACGGCCGCAAGGCUG
rnacentral:rRNA from 1 species